UCAACAUAUCAAGGGGUAAUAUUCUAUCAUGUCACAUGUUUAAACAAAGUUAUGGACAACUGGGAAAAUUAAAUCCUUCACAAGAAAAAUAAAUAAUAAAAUCUCUAGAUUUUAUAUCCAAGCAUGUAAUCAAGUUGUAUAAGCAUCACAAGCAUGUAAAAUAGAAAGAAAAUAAAUUAUAACACCCCUACCUCAAUUUUGAGAUGGAAAUCUCAAAUCCCCACCGAAAAAAAAGUAUUCCGAAUCCAUUGAAACUCUUAGGUUUUGUUGGGGAUAACAUGAUCUACAUGAAUCCGAAGGAAGCCCCAUGAAAAUCACAACUUGACUCCCAACCUAAACACGUCGAGGGAAACAAUAAACGUGAAGGCCGAAGACUUUUCACUUAAGAAAAGUGGAUCAAAGGAGGAGAGAGAAAGUGACAGCUCCAUGGGCAUCCAUGGCUGCCGGCCAAGAGAGGAAGAAGAAGAGAAAAAUUUGAUUUUUUUUUUUCUUUAAGUCUCCUAUUUAUAGAAAAUCUCAAAAAGUGCCCCGAAAGGGCACCGCUGGGUCCGGAAAAGUGAAAUUUGAGCAAACGUGCUCAAACGGAAAAACUCCAUGAAUAAAAAAGAUUUAAAAUGAGAAAAUAUGAAUAACGAAAAAAACGGUGUAAAAAACGGAGUCCCGAGCAGAGAGAUAUGUCCCGAACAAGUUCGGCGGCAAUCAGGGCCAAAAACUCUGAAAUUUGAGAAAAACGACCAGAACGGAAUUUUAAGAGUACAAGACUUGAUGAAAUGUGAAACUGAAUCCCGUAUGAGGAUCCAGGCUCCAAACGAGGUAUUUUGCUAUAACUUUCGUUAAUUGCACAAUGACCCCUACAAAAAGGGUUAACUGCGAAACUGCCCCAGAAUGAAAAUAUCUUCCAAAAGAUAUUUUUUUAGAUGCCCCUAAAAUAAAAUAUCUUUAAAAGAUAUUUAUGAAAAACACCCCAAGAAAAGAAAAAAAUUCUGAAGAAUUGUGCAUCCAUGCUCCUAUGAACACCGGGAGCAACCAGAGUACUUUCUUGCAAAAGUAAAUAUACGUAUUUCGAGAAAACCACUCAAGAUGAAGGCAUGUGAAGUCAAAAACUAACUCCAAGCAUGAAAAGUGAGGUUUUACCAAUAAAGUAAUAGAUGGGGAAAAGACAGAAUAGGGAAAAGGACGAAAUAGGGAAAAGGACAAAAGUGAAUAGUGUCCCGAAAAGUGAAAAUGCGAAAAUGACUCAGUCCUCAAAGGAAGUUGUCAAUCCACACGAAAGAGUCUCAGAAGCCAAUUCUAAGCACUCAAGAUGAUACUAAACGACGAAAAACAGAUCUCAGAAAAGAGAAUUAAACGGAAAAAAUUUAUCCGUAAAAUUUCAGGAAAAAAAGAAAGGGAGGAAAAUGACUUGGUCAUUACAUUUGUUUUGUUUUGUUUUGAUUGAAAAAAAAAAAAUUGAUUGAUUUGUGCAUAAUGAUAUAUAUCUGUUUUACUCCAUAUACUUAAUACUCUAAUGUGUGCUGUGGAGUGUGAUUAUUUUGUCUAGUACAAAGGACUAAGUUUGGGGGCGAGGUGAUGAUUCCAUUCCUCUGAGAUAUCAAUUCUUGAUUCUUGCAAGUUCUGUAUAUUUGAUAAUAUCUUUCUAACUUUACAUCUAUUUUCACACAUUGAUCACAAUGUGCAUCUUAAGUUUGGGGGUAAUAUAGUGCCUUUUAAAAUUUUGUUGUUAAUAUAUUGUGCACAAGAGGAUGCAAUUUAACUGUUUAAGUAUGAUUUUGAGUCUGUUGACUAUUGUGAUGUCCAUAUGCAGUUUGAUAUUGGUUUAAGAAGGUUUGUAUUUCGAAUUCAUGUUAAAUAGGGAUUAUUGAAACUUUUUUAUAUCAGUUGAUGGCCUGUUGUCCACUUUGUCAGGGUAGUUACAAUUUGAUGAUUCUGAUUCCUAGAAUAUUUCACUUUGCACAUGUUCACACUUACAUGAAUUAUGUGGGGUAUAAACUUGAAGUCUUAUUUUGAUUUGUGUUAAACUAAGAUGGAUAGGUGAAUUUGAUGAUUUUUAGAACCAAGGUAUAAAAAAAAAUGAAAGAAAUAAAAUGGUAUGCAUGCAAUAAAAAAAAAAGAAAAAAAAAAAGGUUCUUCAUUAAUGUGAAGGAACCAAAUGAAAAGAGAGAAAAAGGGUCAAGUUUGGGUCUGUACCUAGAUUGCUUAAACAAUUAAUUCCUCAGGGGUGUUUCAACACUUAAUGAGUUCGCUACAAAAAAAGUUUAGGUUGUCCAGAUUACUUGAGCAAUUUGGUCCAUAGGAGUGUUUUAACACCUAAUGCCCUAAAUCCAUUUGGCUUGGAAGUCAUUGGCUGAAAACUCGUUACAAGAAUGAUUUAGAAAGCUUAAUAGACCUGAGCAUUGCAUAGUACCCUUUUGAAAAAAAAAAAAAAAAAAAAGAGUUGAAAAAAAAUUGAGUGAUGAAUGAAAUAAAUGCAAACCUAUAGAAAAUUAGGAAAAAUACCUUGGGGAUCAGAAUUUGAAAGGUUUACUUGUGAAUUGAGGGAUAGCAUGAGUUAGAUAUAAGUAUGGAUAGUAAGCCACAUGUUUAUAAUUGUAAGUUCACUAUUAAAAAGGAUUUUGGGGAUCGAGAUUGUUAAAUAUAAGAUUAAACUAACAUAUGGGGACCAUAGCUGCUAAUAUGAUACUGAGAGUUGGUGAUUUUUCCUGUUUAAUAUAGUUCCUUAUACUUGUUGUAGUUAACUGAUUGAUGUAUUGCUGGAAUAUUAUGAUAUGAAAAUAGGUUUGAAUGAGCUUGUCGUGCAAUUAAGGCACUAAUUUGAGAAGUUUGUGGGUAUCUUCACUGGAAACCUCACGAGAUUACAACUCGUCUGCUGAGCAUUGAAAAGCACUUCUCCCCAAAAUAAGUUAAUCCAGCUGAAUUAGAGCAUAAAAGAUGCAAUCUGAAGCUCAAUGGAAGAAAGGAGCAAAGUGGAAGCAAGUUAGUGAAAGGAAGCACUCUUCAAUCGAUCGAACAAAGCUCAGAUCUAUCACACAGUGAUCAUUCCAAAAAUGCCAAGAUGGAUCGAGCCUUUUGUCCUUGUCCUCAGCAAAAUUCAUUCUUCGAUCGAUCCAACAAUUCUUUGAUCAAUUGAACAUCUUUGAUCUUAUCCUCACCUACCACUUUUGUCCUCUUCCCAAAAAUAUCUCAGCCUUGUCUUUAUUCCAAAAAGGCACUGCCAAGGUUCGAUUGAUUGAACCAACCUUGAGAUUGAUCGAACUGCCUCGAAUUGCGUGAAAAGUUGAUAUCAAGCCAAAUUAAAUAUGUACUCAUGGUGCAAUCAUUGGGAGGUCCUAGUGCACGAGGUUUAACCAUUGGGUGUGACAUUUGAGCUACCUAUAUAAGGAUUUUGGCUAUUUUGAGUAAAGGGGGUUAGAUUAGAGAGACUUGGCUAGAGAUUAAAGAGAGAGAAUAUAGAAAUUGAGAAAGUUCUUCCUCUCUUCUAAGGUUUCCACCAAGGAGGAAGAAGAUCAUUUCUAGCAUGGAAAUAGCCCUUGAGGGUUGGAUGACAACAUCAAUGAGUGGCUAAACAUCUUCUUAGGGCUAGAGCUAGCCCUAGGCAUGCCUCAUAGACUUUGAUGUUUUGUAAUUAAUGGGAAUUAGUAUUGUAAUUCUUGUCUUGACCUUUGAUAUAUAUAUAAAUCUUGUUUCUACAUUGAUUUGUGUA